GGUCGGUUGGCCGAGUGGCUAGGCACCGGUCUGCAAAACCGGCUACAGCGGUUCGACUCCGCUACCGACCUCCG
rnacentral:tRNA from 1 species